GUUUUCCUUCGCUGAAGGAUCCUAUUUCAUUGUGGAUGAAGCUGCUAGGUUUGUGAAAAGUGUUCAAGGAAUAGCUCUCAAUCUUUGGAGGUACAACAAUGCAACUCAAAAAUUAUUUAUAUCAAGAUCUUUCGUGUUUACCAAUGAGCAGGCAUUUGAAGACAUCAGAGGACAGCUAGAGAAUAUGUAAUAGACACAUAUAGUGAUAUACUGAAAUUCGGGCUUCCUGUGUGCACUUAAAGUCAAGCUUGGGCUCCCUUUGGAUAUGACUGAGAGACUGGGCUACCUGUGUACAGGAUCCGAAGAAAAAAGGAAAUAAAAAUUUACAAAUGCUCUAAAAGAGUGCAAAAACACCUAAAAAAAAUUAAAUGAUUAAUAAUUCAUAUUAAACACUGAUCAAGCACA